GUUUAAUUAGUAUACAUAAGUACAUUUAAUUUCCAAUUAAAAAGUUUUUUAAAAAAUUAAACA
rnacentral:tRNA from 1 species